CUCACAUCUCUGGGAGCUGAAGUCCUGUGUUUAUCUACAAAACAUGUACAUCGUAGAAAGUGGCAGUGGAAACUUCCCCCUUACUGCCCCACCAAUGUGUCUCAUCUUUGUAUUACAGUAAAAGUUUUGUUAUCUGGCAUGCUCUGGAAAUGUGGGGUGCC
rnacentral:sRNA from 1 species